UGGGGAAUAUUGGACAAUGGGCGGAAGCCUGAUCCAGCAACGCCGCGUGAGGGAUGACGGCCUUCGGGUUGUAAACCUCUUUCAGCACAGACGAAGCUGACUCCACGUGUGGGGUGGGUGACGGUAUGUGCAGAAGAAGCACCGGCCAACUACGUGCCAGCAGCCGCGGUAAUACGUAGGGUGCGAGCGUUGUCCGGAAUUAUUGGGCGUAAAGGGCUCGUAGGCGGUUUGUCGCGUCGGGAGUGAAAUCCACUGGCUUAACUGGUGGCUUGCUUUCGAUACGGGCAGACUGGAGGUAUGCAGGGGAGAACGGAAUUCCUGGUGUAGCGGUGAAAUGCGCAGAUAUCAGGAGGAACACCGGUGGCGAAGGCGGUUCUCUGGGCAUGUCCUGACGCUGAGGAGCGAAAGUGUGGGGAGCGAACA
rnacentral:rRNA from 2 species